GCAGCCCUGACCCAAAUAUGUGCACUGGGUUGCUGCCUCCCUGACUUGGUCUCAUUGUCCUCAAAUCAGACCUGCAGCUACGGUCCAAAGCAUCUGUAAACUUCAUCCUCAAAUGCACAGGAUCCACUGAGGACCCAACUUGUACUGCUGAGAACUAACCUACCUUCUGAACAAGGAGUCUGAUGUUUCUUUGGGAUCAUUGUUAGAAUGCCAGAUAAAAUAACAUGUAAGAGUUCAUUGUAGAUCACACAGUCUGAUCCGAGGAAGCAAUAAUCCCUUCUUUUAAAUGCAUUUUCUAGUCACAGUGUCCUCUGUCCAGGUGCUGAUCUCCCACUCUAGAAGGAGGAAUCAGCAAUGGCUGAAGGCACAGGUCUCCCAGGUUCACAGUCCCACUGCCGGGCAAUUAAAAAGCCUUGGUACAUCACACUCUGGGGACUGUUGUGGGGUGGGGGGAGGGGG
rnacentral:lncRNA from 10 species